UACGGAGGGGGCUAGCGUUGUUUGGAAUUACUGGGCGUAAAGAGCGCGCAGGCGGUCGUCCAAGUCGCGUGUGAAAGCCCCCGGCUCAACUGGGGAGGGUCACGCGAUACUGGUCGACUCGAAGGCAGGAGAGGGUAGUGGAAUUCCCGGUGUAGUGGUGAAAUGCGUAGAUAUCGGGAGGAACACCAGUGGCGAAGGCGACUACCUGGCCUGUUCUUGACGCUGAGGCGCGAAAGCUAGGGGAGCAAACAGG
rnacentral:rRNA from 1 species